rnacentral:lncRNA from 1 species
GGCUCUUUGUAAGAGGCCUGCAAGUAUAGCAUGAUCUCAAGGCAACCGUCUUAUGCCUGGAAAUUUGUGGUGUAAAACCGAGAAACUGAAGCUCCGAUGUUCGUGUCGAAGGUUAAGCGUUUGAUAUGAAAGGAGAAAUGGAAGGAGCCUAGAAAGGGGAAAAUACGACUCAUCUACCUAGAGACACCAAGAAACUUCAAAGAUACGGGGAGAUUCUACUGUCUGCUAUAUGUGCAGAUCGUCAAUCUUUGACUCCUAGAACUUUUGUGCACACCAUGUCUCUUCAACACAGUGGUGAUGAUUGGCCAGGCGACCAGGCCAAUAAUUACAGAUCAUACAUUGAUACUUGGCCCUGAUGAUUCAGCGCGUUCUAUGUUUGCUCAAGGCUUGUCAUUUUGCUGAGUGUGUCGAGGCUUAGACGCAUACAGUAUUGUGGUCCUAGAAGGUACGAUAUUGGUAUCAAUCAAGCCUUCACGUGUACCUUGACUUGGACAGUUACUGAGAA